rnacentral:tRNA from 1 species
GCCGGGGUGGCGGAAUGGUAGACGCACUGGACUUAAAAUCCAGUGGGAGGUUUCUCCCGUACCGGUUCGAGUCCGGUCCUCGGUA